GCCUAAUGGGGUCUGACCUCACCCUGUUUGGAGGUGGCCUUGUAAGAGCAAGAGCAAGGUCCACCAGAGAACAUCUGUUAACCUCUUCCCCAGCUCUUAGAGAAAAGAGCUGGAACCACAAAUUUACAGACACUGCUGAGGCCUGGGACCACCCAGUGGGGAGAUCUCUGGUGGAGGGAGCAGAGGAAGGAAAGAGGAAGGAUAUCAAAGAGUUGCAGAGUCAGAGGAGAAGGGAUGGCCCCGAGAGCACUGACAAUGUGUGUGGUAUGGUCUCUGCCCAGGCCAGCAGCAAGGGAAUGGAGGAGGACUUCCCUCUCUGCACAAGAAGUGAAUCUGGAGAAGAGACACCUGGCGUAUUUAGAGAGCCAAUGGCUCCUUCAUCUCCAAAGGAAUCUUGGGAACUUGCUGCCAUACAGGAUGGUGAUCAGUUGGACUGCUGGAAUGCACAGGUUGAUUCCCUAAGAUUAUCUUUGGGCUUUGGGGACAUUUGCAUCACAUGUUAAAAACUGGUGAAAAUUCAUUUAAUUUUUUAAUUUUUAAUUUUUUUCUUUUGUCCUUUUAGUGCUGCACCUGUGGCAUAUUCCCAGGCUAGGGGUCUAAUGGGAGCUGUAGCUGCUGGCCUAUGCCAGAGCCACAGCAACGCCAGACCCGAGCUGUGUCUGUGACCUACACCACAGCUCAUGGCGAUCCUUAACCCACUGAGCCAGGCCAAGGAUCAAAGCCGCAACCUCAUGGGUCCUAGUUGGAUUCCUUUCCGCUGCACCAUGACAGGAACUCCUGAAAAUUUAUUUUUAUUUUAAAAUUUCUUACAAGUAUUUCAUCUGUCAUGAGAGAAAAUAAAAAAUUCCAAAGGGAAAAAUGCACACAUUGCUGUGCUCCAUGUCCGAAAAAGCAAAGUGAAUACUUAUCUGCUGCCAAUAUGCUUAAUUAGGGUAGACAAGGGAGGAAACAUUUAAAAUUAUGGUUUUGAAAAAAGCCACUGAAGUAAAUAGGCAUGACAUUGAGUGGUCAGACAUCUAUUCCCAAAUUUUUUUUUUUUUUUUUUUUUUGUCUUUUUAGGGCCAUACCCGCAGCAUAUGGAGGUUCCCAGGCUAGGGGUUGAAUCAGAGCUACAGCUGAUAGCCUAUGCCACAGCCACAGCAACACGGGAUCUGAGCUGUGUCUGCGACCUGUACCACAGCUCACAGCAAUCCUUGAUCCUUAACCCACUGAAUGAGGCCAGGGAUUGAACCUGCUCAUGCAUACUAGUUGGAUUUGUUUCCUCUAAGCCACAAGGGGAACUCCCUGAUUUUUUUUAAUGCAUCUUUUUACUAUGUUUGUUUUAUAAAAAGAGGAACUCAAAGAGACAAAGUGGGCAUUAAGUAUUUUUAUAAAAUAUUCUGUAGAUUUAACAAUGCAGCUCUUUAAAAUUUUUCACUCCUGUAAAACAGAGAGCAAGAUUUUAUUAUUAAUAGCGGAC
rnacentral:lncRNA from 1 species